GACGAACGCUCGGCGGCGCGCCUAACACAUGCAAGUCGAACGGAGUCAAGAGGAGCUUGCUUUUCUUGACUUAGUGGCGAACGGGUGAGUAACGCGUGAGUAACCUGCCCUGGAGUGGGGGACAACAGUUGGAAACGACUGCUAAUACCGCAUAAGCCCACGGCCCGGCAUCGGGCUGAGGGAAAAGGUUUAUUCGCUUCAGGAUGGACUCGCGUCCAAUUAGCUAGUUGGUGAGGUAACGGCCCACCAAGGCGACGAUUGGUAGCCGGACUGAGAGGUUGAACGGCCACAUUGGGACUGAGACACGGCCCAGACUCCUACGGGAGGCAGCAGUGGGGGAUAUUGCACAAUGGGGGAAGCCCUGAUGCAGCGACGCCGCGUGGAGGAAGAAGGUUUUCGGAUUGUAAACUCCUGUCGUUAGGGACGAUAAUGACGGUACCUAACAAGAGAGCACCGGCUAACUACGUGCCAGCAGCCGCGGUAAAACGUAGGGUGCAAGCGUUGUCUGGAAUUACUGGUGUAAAGGGAGCGCAGGCGGACCGCAAAGUUGGAAGUGAAAACUAUGGGCUCAACCCAUAAAUUGCUUUCAAAACUGCUGGCCUUGAGUAGUGCAGAGGUAGGUGGAAUUCCCGGUGUAGCGGUGGAAUGCGUAGAUAUCGGGAGGAACACCAGUGGCGAAGGCGACCUACUGGGCACCAACUGACGCUGAGGCUCGAAAGCAUGGGUAGCAAACAGGAUUAGAUACCCUGGUAGUCCAUGCCGUAAACGAUGAUUACUAGGUGUUGGAGGAUUGACCCCUUCAGUGCCGCAGUUAACACAAUAAGUAAUCCACCUGGGGAGUACGACCGCAAGGUUGAAACUCAAAGGAAUUGACGGGGGCCCGCACAAGCAGUGGAGUAUGUGGUUUAAUUCGAAGCAACGCGAAGAACCUUACCAGGUCUUGACAUCCGAUGCAUAGUGCAGAGAUGCAUGAAGUCCUUCGGGACAUCGAGACAGGUGGUGCAUGGUUGUCGUCAGCUCGUGUCGUGAGAUGUUGGGUUAAGUCCCGCAACGAGCGCAACCCUUAUUGCCAGUUACUACGUAAGAGGACUCUGGCGAGACUGCCGUUGACAAAACGGAGGAAGGUGGGGAUGACGUCAAAUCAUCAUGCCCUUUAUGACCUGGGCUACACACGUACUACAAUGGCGUUUAACAAAGAGAAGCAAGACCGCGAGGUGGAGCAAAACUCAAAAACAACGUCUCAGUUCAGAUUGCAGGCUGCAACUCGCCUGCAUGAAGUCGGAAUUGCUAGUAAUCGCGGAUCAGCAUGCCGCGGUGAAUACGUUCCCGGGCCCU
rnacentral:rRNA from 1 species